rnacentral:rRNA from 1 species
GAUGAACGCUGGCGGCGUGCCUAAUACAUGCAAGUCGAGCGAACAGACGAGGAGCUUGCUCCUCUGACGUGAGCGGCAGACGGGUGAGUAACACGUGGAUAACCCACCUAUAAGACGGGGAUAACUUCGGGAAACCGGAGAUAAUAGCGGAUAAUAUAUUGAACCGCAUGGGUGAAUGGUGAAAGACGGUUUUGCUGUCACUUAUAGAUGGAUCCGCGCCGCAUUAGCGAGUUGGUAAGGUAACGGCUUACCAAGGCAACGAUGCGUAGCCGACCGGAGAGGGUGUUCGGCCCCCCUGGAACUUGGACACGGUCCAGACUCCUACGGGAGGCAGCAGUAGGGAAUCUUCCGCAAUGGGCGAAAGCCUGACGGAGCGACGCCGCGUGAGUGAUGACGGUCUUCGGAUCGUAAAACUCUGUUAUUAGGGAAGAACAAAUGUGUAAGUAACUAUGCACGUCUUGACGGUACCUAAUCAGAAAGCCCCGGCUAACUACGUG